UUCUGGAUCCUUUUGAACUAGCUGCAUUUUCAGGGAGAAGGAUUAAAAUAAGUAAAAGGAACCAAAAUAAAUUUACAAGAGACUGCAAUUUUAUACUGACAAUAAAGCCAUCAUUUUAGAACAGAUUGCAAGCAAAUUGAUUGUUGUCCCUUGUCAAGGAGUCCAUGAGGGAGGGUAACUUGGACCAUUUCAAAAUUUCCAGCUCUUUCCUGUAGCCUAUUGAAAAUUCUCAGUUAAGAUAACCAAUCAUUUUCAGUAUCAACAAUGAAGUAUUUGCUCUGUUUUGGUGAUUUAAAACAGGAUAGGACAGAGGGUAACCGCUCACAACUCAAAGCGUAACUUAUCAACUCAAUUCAAGUAUCAAAGAAACAUCUUCAACCAUGAAAUCGCUCAAGCAUAUCAGCAAGUGGAGUUCUAGUGAUGAAAUUCAAAGAGUAGAAUAAGAUAAUCAAACACAAUAAUUUAAAGUAGUUUGACACACAUGACCUAAAUCUACUCGUCAAAGAUCCAAUUUGAUAGUUCUUUUCUACUAACCGACUCUUUUCACAAGCAAAAGUCAAGCCAAUUACAACCAUAGCUUCUCUCAGUGAUUGAGAACCAACUACAUAAUUUGCCCAAAUCACAAUCUCCCAGAAGCUUCACUGUAGGUGCUUAAACACAUUUACAAAAAUAAUAUGCAGUUUUCCCUUUUGCUUGGAGUGUCUAUUAACUUAUAAAUACAAUAUGGAACAUCUAUUAAAGAAGAGAGAGAAGAUUUACUAAUAUAAAAAUGCAUGGUUUUUCUCAAGGAUGAAAGCACCUCAAGUUUUUGCAGAAAUUUCCUUUGAAAUCAAUAGCUUUCAUAGACUAAAAAAUGGAGCAAAAUAAUGAUCUGUACAUGAGGACUUGAUAUAUAGCCAUUAGAAGGUGAGAACAAGUAGAGCAACCAUUGAUUGGGCAAAAACUAGCCACUAUUUUUGGAUUUUUGUGAACUCUGAAAAAAGGUCAGAUCACAAGGUAGUAGACCAUUCAAAAUUAUCAUACUACUUUUACUACUAGGCUAAAAAUAAUAGAAAAUUAUUCGACUAAUUUUCGAAUUUAGUCGACUGCUUUUGCUACUAUCCACUUUGGCAUAGACAAACAAAAAAUAGUUAACUACUUGUUUUGACAAUAAUCUACUACUUUUAGCUAAUGUCUCAAAACUUUUGAUUUUUCAAAUUCUAUUUCAAAAAUUGUUUUAACACAAUGGUUCCCCAAAACUUAACACCAAAAACAUUUCCAAACAUUUAAAAGAUAUAGUUAUUUCGAAAAAUUAAUUUAAAAUGAAAUUCUCUCUUCUUCUUAUCACAUAAAAGCUACCUUCAACCCUCUUCAAGUAUCCUUUUUCAUUUUUCUAACAUCCUAGAUCAUUUUUCUCAUCACUUGCAACUUGAGACUUAGCUUACAAACUUAUUAAAUCAAUUCCAUUAAGUUUCUUUAUCAUCAAAACCAAGUUUAUUUGACCCUUGGGACUAACAUUAAC
rnacentral:misc_RNA from 1 species